rnacentral:lncRNA from 1 species
AUAUAUGAUGAAUGAUUGACAUUCUGUGCGUUUUAGUUUAUACUUCUUCCAAGUGUGAGGGAAAGAUACGAGUAGUCACUUCGUAUCUUAACUCUUAGUUUAUCGUCUUGUUCGUUUGCUCUUACUGAACGAGGGCGUUCGGAAACGUUUAGGAGUUCCACGAAGUUUCGUGAGCGUAUUAGAUAUGGACGAUGGGACAUGUUUUUAAGAUCUCGUAUCAUGUCUUGAGAUGUUAGUGGACCAGUAGGACUGGGUUUAGGACAAGACCUAGGUUUACUUUCGGCUCUAAGGCUGUGCGACUACUGAUCGGCUCUCGUUUUGCCUGUGGGCGAUUUCCACCUGGUUCUU